AUGUAUAUGGUACACCAAUGUAUAAGAUGGAGUACACCUAGACAAGACUUUCGUUUGCGUGUAUGAUGCGUCAUUGACUAGAUGAUCGACCUCGACAAAUUUGAUUCGUCAUGAUCAGAUGCUACGAAUUUUUAAGUGAAAUAUGUACACGAUUGAGGAUCAAGCAGCUAGCGCUUGCGCUGCUACGCAUGCGCGAGAUUGUCCCUCCAUCUCAUGAUAUAGGUAUUUCUCUUUUUAUUUUAUUUUUUUCUCAUAACAAUGCAUUAAAAUCAAUUUUAAUAUCCAUGUCCAAAGAUGUAUAAUUAGCAAUUAUUCUAAUAUAUAUAUAUAUAAGC